rnacentral:rRNA from 1 species
UACGGAGGAUGCGAGCGUUAUCCGGAUUUAUUGGGUUUAAAGGGUGCGUAGGCGGCUUAGUAAGUCAGAAGUGAAAUCCAUGGGCUUAACCCAUGAACUGCUUUUGAAACUGCUAAGCUUGAGUGGAGUAGAGGUAGGCGGAAUUCCCGGUGUAGCGGUGAAAUGCGUAGAGAUCGGGAGGAACACCAGUGGCGAAGGCGGCCUACUGGGCUCUAACUGACGCUGAGGCACGAAAGCGUGGGUAGCAAACAGG